rnacentral:tRNA from 1 species
GGAGAGAUGCCCGAGAGGUCGAAGGGGGUUGACUCGAAAUCAACUGUACGCUCGUCGUACCGGGGGUUCGAAUCCCUCUCUCUCCGCCA